CGGACGGGUGAGUAACGCGUGGGUAACCUGCCUUGCACUGGGGGAUAACACUUAGAAAUAGGUGCUAAUACCGCAUAAGCGCACGGUCCUGCAUGGGACAGUGUGAAAAACUCCGGUGGUGCAAGAUGGACCCGCGUCUGAUUAGCUGGUUGGCGGGGUAAAGGCCCACCAAGGCGACGAUCAGUAGCCGACCUGAGAGGGUGGCCGGCCACAUUGGGACUGAGACACGGCCCAGACUCCUACGGAAGGCAGCAG
rnacentral:rRNA from 1 species